CCUACGGGGGGCAGCAGUAGGGAAUAUUGCGCAAUGGAGGAAACUCUGACGCAGCGACGCCGCGUGCGGGAUGAAGGCCUUUGGGUUGUAAACCGCUUUCAGUAGGGAAGAAGCGAAAGUGACGGUACCUACAAAAGAAGCACCGGCUAACUAUGUGCCAGCAGCCGCGGUAAUACAUAGGGUGCAAGCGUUGUCCGGAAUUAUUGGGCGUAAAGAGCUCGUAGGUCGUUUGUUACGUCGGAUGUGAAAAUCUGAGGCUCAACCUCAGACCUGCAUUCGA
rnacentral:rRNA from 1 species